GAGUUUGAUCAUGGCUCAGGAUGAACGCUGGCGGCGUGCUUAACACAUGCAAGUCGAACGAACCUUCGGGUUAGUGGCGGACGGGUGAGUAACGCGUGAGAAUCUGCCCUCAGGAGGGGGACAACAGCUGGAAACGGCUGCUAAUACCCCAUAUGCCGCGAGGUGAAAUGAAUUUCGCCUGAGGAUGAGCUCGCGUCUGAUUAGCUAGUUGGUGUAGGUAAUGGCUCACCAAGGCAUCGAUCAGUAGCUGGUCUGAGAGGAUGAUCAGCCACACUGGGACUGAGACACGGCCCAGACUCCUACGGGAGGCAGCAGUGGGGAAUUUUCCGCAAUGGGCGAAAGCCUGACGGAGCAACGCCGCGUGAGGGAUGAAGGCCUCUGGGCUGUAAACCUCUUUUAUCAAGGAAGAAGAUCUGACGGUACUUGAUGAAUAAGCCACGGCUAAUUCCGUGCCAGCAGCCGCGGUAAUACGGGAGUGGCAAGCGUUAUCCGGAAUUAUUGGGCGUAAAGCGUCCGCAGGCGGCCCUUCAAGUCUGCUGUUAAAACGUGGAGCUUAACUCCAUCAUGGCAGUGGAAACUGUUGGGCUUGAGUGUGGUAGGGGCAGAGGGAAUUCCCGGUGUAGCGGUGAAAUGCGCAGAUAUCGGGAAGAACACCAGUGGCGAAGGCGCUCUGCUGGGCCAUCACUGACGCUCAUGGACGAAAGCCAGGGGAGCGAAAGGGAUUAGAUACCCCUGUAGUCCUGGCCGUAAACGAUGAACACUAGGUGUCGGGGGAAUCGACCCCCUCGGUGUCGUAGCCAACGCGUUAAGUGUUCCGCCUGGGGAGUACGCACGCAAGUGUGAAACUCAAAGGAAUUGACGGGGGCCCGCACAAGCGGUGGAGUAUGUGGUUUAAUUCGAUGCAACGCGAAGAACCUUACCAGGGUUUGACAUCCUGCGAAUCUCUUGGAAACAGGAGAGUGCCUUCGGGAACGCAGUGACAGGUGGUGCAUGGCUGUCGUCAGCUCGUGUCGUGAGAUGUUGGGUUAAGUCCCGCAACGAGCGCAACCCACGUCUUUAGUUGCCAGCAUUUAGUUGGGCACUCUAGAGAGACUGCCGGUGAUAAACCGGAGGAAGGUGUGGAUGACGUCAAGUCAUCAUGCCCCUUGCAUCCUGGGCUACACACGUACUACAAUGCUACGGACAAAGGGCAGCAAGUUCGCGAGGACAAGCAAAUCCCAUAAACCGUGGCUCAGUUCAGAUCGUAGGCUGCAACUCGCCUACGUGAAGGCGGAAUCGCUAGUAAUCGCAGGUCAGCAUACUGCGGUGAAUACGU
rnacentral:rRNA from 1 species